ensembl:lncRNA
AUUUGGUAAACACCGCUAUGAAGCAGCUUCAAUCAAUAUCAAUCAAUACUACUACAUUUAUGUGAAAGAGGUUGAGGUUUACAAAGAUUUGAAGCAUCUUCAAGGUCAUUGUUUUAGUUUUUCAGCCGACAGUUUCCGUUUCUCGAUUCACUUUCACAAUUCUCCUCAGCAUCCAUUUCCACCAAAGAAGUCAAAAGUUAGCUGGAGAAUGAACAGAGAAACACAUUCUACGUAAGAGCCAGAAAUCUUUCCUCGGUGGAGACCAAAUAUGGAGUCGAACAGGAGGAGUAAAUACUAGAUGCUUUUACCAGGCAACCUGAGACAGCGCUUCAUGUAACAGCUAAUGGUGCUCCGUGUAAAUGAUCGUCCAUUUGCCAAGCUAGUCAAAUUUAUGAGGCAAUAAUAUGUCAGUGCUGUGUUCACAGCGUGCUUCCUGAAGGUUAUCAAAUCUUUAUAAUAUGUCAGGUCUUAAUGUUGAUUCUGCAACCGGAAGCCAGUCAUUGAUACCACUUCAGGCGUAUUUGCAAAUUGCGCUUUCCCUGUCAUGCAUAUUCAUUCAAGGGACGGUUAAGGGGAAUGUGGGACCUUCCCAUAAAGAGAUGGUAGGGGAUGCAUAUAGUGUGCCUUAUGUAUUCUGCGCUGUUUACAGAAACCGCCCAUGAAAGCGUGAAAUUCUGCACCUCUUAAAGCAGGUGUAAACAAGAAUGCGGGUUUCCUCACAUGUGCUUCCUGGUGAAACAGCAGCAGUAAUCCGAGCCAGACGGCGACAUGGACCAAGGAGACGAGCUGAAAGGAUUUUUUCCACAUGGAUCAUAGUUUUUCACACAAAAUAGUUACGCAUUUUACACAAAUUGAGCAGCCAUGCAAUAUUACAGUGACUCUCAGCGUCCAUAUUUCAUUCCAGCAGUUGUUAAACUCCUUGCUAGAUUACAAUUAUUGGCAUCAGGAUCAUUUCAAACAGGCAUCAGCAGUGGGAAUAUAGCAGUCUGCACACAGCCGUAUCACAGCAACAGUACUUAACGCUUUGCUGCAGCGCAUUAGUCGAUUUACAUUUUGGUUUUCACUGUUUUGACUGUUGCUGAUCCGUGACAGAAAGAGGGAAGGAGGUCUGUUCAUUUGGGUGUUUUAAUGCUCGCAAUGUGCGGUAUAGUGGUUGGAGAAAGGCGCUGAUUACAUGAUUAGCUGCAUGUUUUGAAAAUACAACGUUAGCUGAAGUAUCACAGCGAGUGCUGUCUGCGUAUUUGCCGUGGCGCUGAUGUACGUACACGAGUCCCGUAGUAUCUAAAUAUUUUGGUAAUCUCAGCAAAUAAUAAAGAGACUGAACAGGCCUCUGAUUUGUCAAUCUUUGCCCAGGCUGUGCAGACUAAAUUCGAGGGAGCACAAUGGAGGUGGGAUGUAGCUGACAGGAAUUGGCUGUUAAAAUGUGGAACAGGAAGAGGACCAUAAAAUGCAUCCACACUUUACAGGUUUGGACACUCUGCUCAGAACGCCAUUGUUUGUCUGUGAGAGAAAUUCAGACUUUAAUAGGUUGCAGAAAGUGUUAGUGUCCUUCUUACAGACCAGAUGUUGUUCAUGUUUUUACACUUCAUAGAUUGUGAGGAGGCUUUAAAUGGAAUUGUCGGGUGUCGAGUUUUUAAAAAAAAUUUCUACAGAGGAAACCUAAUAGCUAUGGGGUCAAAGUAAUCAGUAUAAGUGGUAUUAUUAUAGACAAAUGUAUUUUUUAGUCAAUGGAAUUUAAAAAAGUGAACUAAUUAAUCGCACAUUUUGAAAUUGAUCAAUCUCGAUAUAUGGCGAUUAAUGAAUGUUGUUGUUACAAUGUUGUUUAUAAUGAGUUAUAGUUUAGAGUUUAUUAUUACGAGACUACAUCUUAAAAGUAAUGAGUAAUCACUUUAGAAAGUGUGUAUUUUAAACAGCGGCCGUUACGUUUCCGUGGUCAACUUCCGGUUUAAACAAACAAACUUUAACUACGUCAGAAUAUUUUGUUGUAUUAAUCUAGGCCACAAAAAUCGCCUGUGCAUUAAUGCAUUAAUGUUGACCUCAUUUCUUCCCACAUUUUAUUCAGAUUACCCUCUUAUUAAGAUCAGUGCAGCUGUUUCACACAUUGAAAUGAAUGUACAAAUUAAAUUACUGUUCUUCGAAUAAAAACAAUAAUACAGUGCAGUACUGUGUAAAAAUAUAGUAUGCUUUAGUUGAAAUUACAGUAACUUCAAACAGUAUUGUGAUGUUUGCAAAUACAGUAUCGUCAUUAGUGCAAAUUGGCUCCUAAACUACAGCUUGGCUCGGAUGUACUGCAUUUUAACAGGCUUAAAGACUAUCAAUGCUGGAGUGGGUGCAGAUUUUG